rnacentral:piRNA from 1 species
AGAUACAAGACAUCGCCACUCCUACACC